rnacentral:rRNA from 1 species
UACGUAGGGUGCGAGCGUUGUCCGGAAUUAUUGGGCGUAAAGAGCUCGUAGGCGGUGUGUCGCGUCGGCCGUGAAAACCUGCAGCUUAACUGUGGGCUUGCGGUCGAUACGGGCAUCACUGGAGUUCGGCAGGGGAGACUGGAAUUCCUGGUGUAGCGGUGAAAUGCGCAGAUAUUAGGAGGAACACCGGUGGCGAAGGCGGGUCUCUGGGCCGAUACUGACGCUGAGGAGCGAAAGCGUGGGGAGCGAACAGG